rnacentral:rRNA from 1 species
UACAGAGGUCUCAAGCGUUGUUCGGAUUCAUUGGGCGUAAAGGGUGCGUAGGCGGCGGGGUAAGUCGGAUGUGAAAUCCCGGGGCUCAACCCCGGAACUGCAUUCGAUACUGCCUUGCUAGAGUACUGGAGAGGAGACUGGAAUUUACGGUGUAGCAGUGAAAUGCGUAGAUAUCGUAAGGAAGACCAGUGGCGAAGGCGAGUCUCUGGACAGUUACUGACGCUGAGGCACGAAGGCCAGGGAGCAAACGGG